rnacentral:lncRNA from 1 species
GGCUUAGGAUUGUCUCCUGACACUCAAUGAGCUUCUCUGAUGCUGUCGAGAUCUACAGCUGCUGUGUGAACAAGGGGAUUAAAUGUUAACUAUAGAAAGUUAUUUACUGGUAAACUGUCCAAAUGAAGGUAAUAACUCAUGGACUAAAGAUCCCUCCAAAGCAGGGUGUACUCAAGGAACCAGCAAAUUGAUUGAAUGGAUCUGAAAACAUGUUCAAUUCUUUCCAGUGGUUUCACAACAAGGGCAGUC